rnacentral:rRNA from 1 species
CCUCCUUCUGGAUUCCCGUUCCUGCUAUUGAGUUAGUGGGGACGUCACAGGGGGCUCAUCGUCGUCAGCAAUGCCGGCGGUGGGUCCCUGGGGCCCAGAUCGUUUACCGUGAAAAAAUUAGAGUGUUCAAAGCAGGCAGAUCCAAUUUUCUGCCACCGAAUACAUUAGCAUGGGAUAAUGGAAUAGGACCCUGUCCUCCUAUUUUCAGUUGGUUUUGGCAGCGCGAGGACUAGGGUAAUGAUUAAUAGGGAUAGUUGGGGGCAUUAAUAUUUAAUUGUCAGAGGUGAAAUUCUUGGAUUUAUGAAAGAUUAACUUCUGCGAAAGCAUCUGCCAAGGAUGUUUUCAUUAAUCAAGAACGAAAGUUAGGGGAUCGAAGACGAUCAGAUACCGUCGUAGUCUUAACCAUAAACGAUGCCGACCAGCGAUUAGGAGACGUUGAAUACAAAACACCACCAUCGGCGCGGUCGUCCUUGGCGUCUGGGUUUCGGCCGGGGCGCGGGGAUGGCUUAGCCCGGUGGCACCGGUGAAUGACUCCCCUAGCAGCUUGUGAGAAA